rnacentral:rRNA from 1 species
GAGGGAAACAACCCAGACCGCCAGCUAAGGUCCCAAAGUCAUGGUUAAGUGGGAAACGAUGUGGGAAGGCCCAGACAGCCAGGAUGUUGGCUUAGAAGCAGCCAUCAUUUAAAGAAAGCGUAAUAGCUCACUGGUCGAGUCGGCCUGCGCGGAAGAUGUAACGGGGCUAAACCAUGCACCGAAGCUGCGGCAGCGACGCUGAUGCGUUGUUGGGUAGGGGAGCGUUCUGUAAGCCUGCGAAGGUGUGCUGUGAGGCAUGCUGGAGGUAUCAGAAGUGCGAAUGCUGACAUAAGUAACGAUAAAGCGGGUGAAAAGCCCGCUCGCCGGAAGACCAAGGGUUCCUGUCCAACGUUAAUCGGGGCAGGGUGAGUCGACCCCUAAGGCGAGGCCGAAAGGCGUAGUCGAUGGGAAACAGGUUAAUAUUCCUGUACUUGGUGUUACUGCGAAGGGGGGACGGAGAAGGCUAUGUUGGCCGGGCGACGGUUGUCCCGGUUUAAGCGUGUAGGCUGGU